rnacentral:rRNA from 1 species
CCUACGGGAGGCAGCAGUGAGGAAUAUUGGUCAAUGGCCGUAAGCCUGAACCAGCCAAGUCGCGUGAGGGAUGAAGGUUCUAUGGAUCGUAAACCUCUUUUAUAAGGGAGUAAAGUGUGGGACGUGUCCCGGUUUGUAUGUACCUUAUGAAUAAGGAUCGGCUAACUCCGUGCCAGCAGCCGCGGUAAUACGGAGGAUCCGAGCGUUAUCCGGAUUUAUUGGGUUUAAAGGGUGCGUAGGCGGGCUUUUAAGUCAGCGGUUAAAGUCUGUGGCUCAACCACAGAAUUGCCGUUGAAACUGGGGGUCUUGAGUGUGUGAGAGGCAGGCGGAAUGCGUGGUGUAGCGGUGAAAUGCUUAGAUAUCACGCAGAACCCCGAUUGCGAAGGCAGCCUGCCAGGCCAUGACUGACGCUGAUGCACGAAAGCGUGGGGAUCAAACAGGAUUAGAUACCCCUGUAGUC